UACGUAGGUGGCGAGCGUUGUCCGGAAUUAUUGGGCGUAAAGAGCGUGUAGGUGGGAUAGUCAGUCUCAUUUAAAAGAUCGGGGCUCAACCCCGUUAGGGGUGAGAAACAGCUAUUCUUGAGUGCAGGAGAGGAAAGCGGAAUUCCCAGUGUAGCGGUGAAAUGCGUAGAUAUUGGGAGGAACACCAGUGGCGAAGGCGGCUUUCUGGACUGUGUCUGACACUGAGGCGCGAAAGCUAGGGGAGCGAACG
rnacentral:rRNA from 1 species